rnacentral:rRNA from 1 species
GAUGAACUCUGGCGGCGUGCCUAAUACAUGCAAGUCGAGCGAACAGACAAGGAGCUUGCUCCUUUGACGUUAGCGGCGGACGGGUGAGUAACACGUGGGUAACCUACCUAUAAGACUGGGAUAACUUCGGGAAACCGGAGCUAAUACCGGAUAAUAUUUCGAACCGCAUGGUUCGAUAGUGAAAGAUGGUUUUGCUAUCACUUAUAGAUGGACCCGCGCCGUAUUAGCUAGUUGGUAAGGUAACGGCUUACCAAGGCGACGAUACGUAGCCGACCUGAGAGGGUGAUCGGCCACACUGGAACUGAGACACGGUCCAGACUCCUACGGGAGGCAGCAGUAGGGAAUCUUCCGCAAUGGGCGAAAGCCUGACGGAGCAACGCCGCGUGAGUGAUGAAGGUCUUCGGAUCGUAAAACUCUGUUAUUAGGGAAGAACAUACGUGUAAGUAACUAUGCACGUCUUGACGGUACCUAAUCAGAAAGCCACGGCUAACUACGUGCCAGCAGCCGCGGUAAUACGUAGGUGGGCAGCGUUAUCCGGAANUUAUUGGGCGUAAAGCGCGCGUAGCGGUUUUUUUAAGUCUGAUGUGAAAGCCCACGGCUCAACCGUGGAGGGUCAUUGGAAACUGGAAAACUUGAGUGCAGAAGAGGAAAGUGGAAUUCCAUGUGUAGCGGUGAAAUGCGCAGAGAUAUGGAGGAACACCAGUGGCGAAGGCGACUUUCUGGUCUGUAACUGACGCUGAUGUGCGAAAGCGUGGGGAUCAAACAGGAUUAGAUACCCUGGUAGUCCACGCCGUAAACGAUGAGUGCUAAGUGUUAGGGGGUUUCCGCCCCUUAGUGCUGCAGCUAACGCAUUAAGCACUCCGCCUGGGGAGUACGACCGCAAGGUUGAAACUCAAAGGAAUUGACGGGGACCCGCACAAGCGGUGGAGCAUGUGGUUUAAUUCGAAGCAACGCGAAGAACCUUACCAAAUCUUGACAUCCUUUGACAACUCUAGAGAUAGAGCUUUCCCCUUCGGGGGACAAAGUGACAGGUGGUGCAUGGUUGUCGUCAGCUCGUGUCGUGAGAUGUUGGGUUAAGUCCCGCAACGAGCGCAACCCUUAAGCUUAGUUGCCAUCAUUAAGUUGGGCACUCUAAGUUGACUGCCGGUGACAAGCCGGAGGAAGGUGGGGAUGACGUCAAAUCAUCAUGCCCCUUAUGAUUUGGGCUACACACGUGCUACAAUGGACAAUACAAAGGGCAGCGAAACCGCGAGGUCAAGCAAAUCCCAUAAAGUUGUUCUCAGUUCGGAUUGUAGUCUGCAACUCGACUACAUGAAGCUGGAAUCGCUAGUAAUCGUAGAUCAGCAUGCUACGGUGAAUACGUUCCCGGGUCU